rnacentral:rRNA from 1 species
AUGAAGAUCCUCGACUCGCCCCUCAUGGGCGAGUUCAUCGGCUACCUCAAGUCCAACUGGGGCGGCAACUCGCGGGUGAGCCAGCGCCGGCGCCGGCUGCGGCAGCUGGUGGCGAUGGUGCGCGGGGUGGCGGACGCCGCCGAGGCCCGGGCCGCGGUGCGGGGCAGCUCCCUCCACCGCUGGCUGCAGCUGCUGCGGAAGGAGGCGCUGCGCGGGCAGCAGGUGCUCGACGCCACUACCGACCCCUCCGCCGUCGUCGGCUCCGCCAAGAAGUUCCUCGCGGGACUCAGGUCCCUCUUCGUCUGCAGCGCCGAGGUCGACCGCCUCACCGACGCCGUCGACGCGCUCGAGCGCCUCGCCGGCCCCGGCGCCGACCUCGACAUCUUCCUGAAGGUGCUCCAGCUCGACGUCGCCAUGGACGUCGACGAAUACGCCGUUCCGGCCCCGGCUGGCCCCUUCUCGGCCACGCAUUACGUGGACCAAGGCAGCUACGCCGUCGCCACCGCGCCGGGCGCCAAGAGGAAGCGCGCGGGGAGCUCCGGCGUCGACCAGGCCGGGGACGGCGACGGCGAGGCCGCGUCCCACUCCCACGGCCGGGGCGCCCUCGACCGCGCGUACCGGCACAAGCGCCGGGCCCUGGCGUGCAAGCGGCACACCGGCUUCUUCCCUCCGCCGGCGGGGCCAGACCGCUCCGUGGCGGUGGCGAUGGCCAUGGCCAGGGUGCGCCGCCGCAUCGGGACGCCGAGCCUCGGGCGGCCCUUCUCCCGGAUUUCCUUGGAGUGA